AAACCACCAUCCAAAUUAAUAUCCACCAUUAGAGCCACUUAAACUCACAAAAUAAACUGCUAUGGUGGCAGUUCUCAGCAGUUUCUUCUGCCUUCAACCCACGUCUUACUAGCAGUUCCCUUUUCUACGUCUUCAACCCACAUCUUACUAGCAUUUAUUGAUAAAAUUAUUCAGUUCCCUUUAAAAUCCUCACUCCCUUGAAACAACCCCACUCACCUCUCUUUCUCUACGCUCACAUAUUGCAAAAUAGGGAAGAAGCAGAGAUAAGAUUUGGCAAGAGAAUAAAUUAGGGCAUCAUGAUGACGACGUCUCCUUCAUAAACUCAAGCCCUCAAACGAUCCCCAACGCUCUCUAAUGUAGUGAUGUUUCCAAGAUUUCUCCAUUUUUGUCGGAUCUGAAUAUUCUUCGAUGGAAGCACACGACGUCAGUUUCCGCCAUGUUCUGGUUUUGCGUCGCUGUAAGAAAGGUUUAAUGAUAUAGUUGGAACUUGGAAGUGCAUAUUAUGUCGCACCAUUAAAGUUCUGCAUAGAUCAUACAGCUUGGAAGCAGAUAUAUGGAGUGUUGGGGUUAUUAAGUGAAUACCAUUUUGGGCAAGCAUAGAAGCAUGAAUAUUUUGUGCGGUUUUGAGGGCAGACCUAAUUUUGAUGAUAUAUCGUGGUCUUCUGUAUCACCAGAAACUCAGAAAGUAAAGAUUUUGUUAAAAAGGCUUCUAAUUGAGGACUAUAAAAAAGAAUGAGUGCUGCUCAAUCUCUCCACAUAAGUUUAGUUCCAGUCGCAUGUGGGAUGACAGCUCAUCCAUGGUUUUCAAUUGAGAGUCAUCCAAUUCCUUUAGAUAUAUUGAUUUACAAACCACCAUUCAAACUGAUGCACUCAAGGUACUUUCAAAAGCUCUGAUAGAGAAUGAAUUCAUUUAUCUUAGAUCCCAAUUUAUGCUUUUAGAACCAAACAAAGGUGAGAUGGGCACGUGUAUCUCUUGACAACUUCAGAAUGGUAAUAGUUUGCUUCCAGUUUAAAAAUGAUGGUUAUUUCUUUUCAGUUUUCAUUUAUAUUAAUAUGUUAUCUCUUGAAGCUUACUCUUUACUUGUAAGUUUAUUGUUACUUUUAUAACAUUGGAGGUGAGUUUGAGCGGAACCGGAUAUAGUUAGAAGCUGAAGACCUUACUUUAGACAUUAGGAGUGGAAAAAUAGUUGGGUCGGGUAGAAUUGAUAAUGGGUCGAUUCAAGUUGUUUUAUAGUACUGGGCAGAACGGGUCAAGCAGACCCCCAAUUCCCUAGACACCUUUUCUUGAUAGUUGAGCUUUGUAAGUUUUUAGUUUGUUAAAAUAUCUUAUAUACUUCACUAUUAUAGUUACAAUUUAACUUGUGGUUACUAAAGAAAUCUAUGAGCAUUGGAAUAUUGGAUGGCUUUUGGCCCGUUUGACAUGUUACCUUUUAGAGUUAAAUAUUUUAGCUUAACUCAUUUGACCCGUGACUUAAAUCAACUCAUUUUGUGUGCGCGCGUGUGUGUGUAUAUAUAAAUGGGUCAAAAUUACUAAGCGAUAACAUAAUUUUUGCACUGGUAUGAGAAAUAUACUGAUGUGGAUGAUGUCAUACGUGGGAGUACCAAGUUAGUGUUUGUUUGGAUUUGUGCUUAAAACUUUCUCAGCAUUAUAUCCUGAGGCAUGUUAGUGAAACUCACCUUUUUGUCUUUUUUUUUCACCGUUAUCUAUAAUAUCUUAUAUGCUAAGUUAGCGUUUGUUUGGAUUUGUGCUUAAAAGUGUUAUGUGAUACUGAAUAAUCUUAAUCAAAUAAUCAGCUGAAAUAGUCAUCUAAAAAUUGGCCAUUUGAUGAGGUUGACCGUUAUCUUGGAGCAAGAUAUAUCCAGUGAGCAUCUCGAAAGAUUCUUCAUAUCCGAAAUUAUUAGAGAAUAUAGCUUCAUGCAGUUUUGUAACGAGGUUCCUUACUUGUGUCAUGUAAAUGUUAUAAAUUACCAAACCAGGCCUAAUUCAAAAGACUUCAUUCAAGUUGAUGGGGCUAAAUCCUUUGCAGUUAUCAUGGACUUUUGAAAAAGCAGGUGCAAAGCUAGAGCGGCGAUGGAAAUUUAGACCAACUGAGAAUAAGAGGAAGAAAGCUGUCUCAUGAUGGAUGCUAAACCACGCCUAAGUGUAAGAGUGACUUACAUAUCAAAGGAUUCAGAUCUAAGUUUUCAUUUUUAAUAAAGGAAAGUCAAAGGUAUUUUGAAGCCUACUGGGAAUUCUGCUCGUGGCAUGAUGCAUGAGGUUUCAUGUAAAGGGUCUAAUAAAGGAAGAGACACAUGUUUGGUUGUGCAGCCAGACUCUUCUGGCGAGGUUGGACCCCCUGGAUACCGACUUGAUGAAGUGAGUCCAAAUGAGCCUGGUCAGAUGGAUUUAGGUGAUGUUAUGAGUCAUGUGAACCCAACCGGUGAAGUCAAUGUGAAUGAUCCAGAUAACUUUAGAAUAAAUGGUGAGGAUUCAGAUGCAGUUAGCUAAAGCCGAAGUUGAUGAUCUCAGAACGGGCCAGGACCCAUGUUUACAGAUCACUGAUAAUUUCUUUUUGAAUUUGUUUUGAUUUGGUAUGCUUUUAGGACAUUUAUUUUUGCUGAAAAUGGUUUGAGAUAACUGAUGCUUACUGCCAUUUUGUUCAAAUGCAUUGCAAUUUUGUGUGGUUAUAAAAUGCAAUUGACAUAGAAUGGACAUGGUCAAAUUUGCACUGUCAUUUUGUUAAUAAUGAAUUGCAAUAUGUCAA